rnacentral:rRNA from 1 species
AGAAUCAACGCUGGCGGCGUGCCUAACACAUGCAAGUCGCACGAGAAAGGGACUUCGGUCCUGAGUAAAGUGGCGCACGGGUGAGUAACACGUGACUAAUCUACCCUCGAGUGGGGAAUAACCUAGGGAAACCUGGGCUAAUACCGCAUAACACUUACGAGUCAAAGCAGCAAUGCGCUUGGGGAGGAGGUCGCGGCAGAUUAGUUAGUUGGCGGGGUAAUGGCCCACCAAGACGAUGAUCUGUAUCCGGCCUGAGAGGGCGCACGGACACACUGGAACUGAAACACGGUCCAGACUCCUACGGGAGGCAGCAGUGGGAAUUUGCGCAAUGGGGGAAACCCUGACGCAGCAACGCCGCGUGGAGGAUGAAGUCUCUUGGGACGUAAACUCCUUUCGACAGGGACGAUAAUGACGGUACCUGUAGAAGAAGCCCGGCUAACUCGCGCCAGCAGCCGC